ACCAGACUCCUACGGGAGGCAGCAGUGGGGAAUAUUGCACAAUGGGGGAAACCCUGAUGCAGCGACGCCGCGUGAGUGAAGAAGUAAUUCGUUACGUAAAGCUCUAUCAGCAGGGAAGAAAAUGACGGUACCUGAGUAAGAAGCCCCGGCUAACUACGUGCCAGCAGCCGCGGUAAUACGGAGGAUGCGAGCGUUAUCCGGAUUUAUUGGGUUUAAAGGGUGCGUAGGCGGACGCUUAAGUCAGCGGUAAAAUGGCGGGGCUCAACCUCGUCGAGCCGUUGAAACUGGCGAACUCGAGAGGGAGAGAAGUAGGCGGAAUGCGCAGUGUAGCGGUGAAAUGCAUAGAUAUUGCGCAGAACUCCGAUUGCGGAGGCAGCCUACCGGCUCCUGUCUGACGCUGAGGCACGAAAGCGUGGGUAUCGAACAGGAUUAGAUACCCUAGUAC
rnacentral:rRNA from 1 species